CGGGGGGGGCAAGCGUUGUUCGGAAUUACUGGGCGUAAAGGGCUCGUAGGUGGCCAACUAAGUCAGACGUGAAAUCCCUCGGCUUAACCGGGGAACUGCGUCUGAUACUGGAUGGCUUGAGAUUGGGAGAGGGAUGCGGAAUUCCAGGUGUAGCGGUGAAAUGCGUAGAUAUCUGGAGGAACACCGGUGGCGAAGGCGGCAUCCUGGACCAACACUGACGCUGAGGAGCGAAAGCCAGGGGAGCAAACGGGAUUAGAUACCCCGGUAGCCCUGGCCCUAAACGAUGAAUGCUUGGUGUGGCGGGUAUCGAUCCCUGCCGUGCCGAAGCUAACGCAUUAAGCAUUCCGCCUGGGGGAGUACGGUCGCAAGGCUG
rnacentral:rRNA from 1 species